rnacentral:lncRNA from 1 species
GCAUUUCAGUUUGUCCAUGAGUUACUUGUCAUUUCACUUGGCCCCAUCAAACAUGUUUAGAAUUUUAUUAUUUCUCUUAAUUUAAUACUAUUUCAAGCUAUUUAAUUCCAUGACGGGGAUUAAUAGUUUCUUUAAAUAGUCCUACGGACUGUUUUUUGUUAUUUCGAAGACUAUUUAUAAAAGAUUAUAUAAUCCCAUGAUGAAUUCAUUUUAAGCUAUCAAUAAUUUCAAAGUAGUGUUGAAUCUC